CCAUAUCAUAAGCUUCUCUUUUGUUGUUUUGUUUUAUCUCUGCUAAAAUUUAUUGAAUUUUCCUUUCAAGCCACAAAAUCAGAACCUACUUAUUGUAACAAUAAAAAACAAAAUCAUUGCUAGAAAAUAAAGAAAAAGCCAACAAUGCCCCUCUUCCUUGCAUUCCCUGGGCAAUCAGAGUAACCACCACAGCUAUUUCUGAAAUAUAUCAAAGCCUUCCACACAGCCUUGGAAGAGAAAAGGAGAAAUAGAAGUUGGAAGUCUUCAUUCAUCUUGAAUGGUGGAAUGCUCACGCUACAAAUUCUGAGGCGCAGAGAAAAUGCAAAUCCUCUAUUUUGACCAUAAUUACUCAGCCUGACAAAAGAACUUCUUACUCCAUGGUCAGGAUGACUGAAUGUACUCUAUAGCAUAGUCUUCAUCCUAUUUGGUAAUCCUCACCCAUAUCUGUUGUCAGGAUGUCCCCUGGAUGACAGUGAUACAUCAGAGAUGAUAUAAAGAGGAUCCCAAAUCCAUGUGUAC
rnacentral:lncRNA from 1 species